rnacentral:rRNA from 1 species
UACUCCUUACCACGUGUAGCGGUGAAAUGUGUAGAGAUGUGGACCAACACCAGUGGAGAAGGAGUCUCUGGUGUCUGUAAGUGACGCUGAGGAGAGAAAGUGUGGAGAGCGAACAGGAUUAGAUACCGUGGUAGUCCACGCUGUAAACGAUGAGUGCUAAGUGUUAGGGGGUUUCCGCCCCUUAGUGCUGCAGCUAACGCAUUAAGCACUCCGCCUGGGGAGUACGGUCGCAAGACUGAAACUCAAAGGAAUUGACGGGGGCCCGCACAAGCGGUGGAGCAUGUGGUUUAAUUCGAAGCAACGCGAAGAACCUUACCAGGUCUUGACAUCCUCUGACAAUCCUAGAGAUAGGACGUCCCCUUCGGGGGCAGAGUGACAGGUGGUGCAUGGUUGUCGUCAGCUCGUGUCGUGAGAUGUUGGGUUAAGUCCCGCAACGAGCGCAACCCUUGAUCUUAGUUGCCAGCAUUCAGUUGGGCACUCUAAGGUGACUGCCGGUGACAAACCGGAGGAAGGUGGGGAUGACGUCAAAUCAUCAUGCCCCUUAUGACCUGGGCUACACACGUGCUACAAUGGACAGAACAAAGGGCAGCGAAACCGCGAGGUUAAGCCAAUCCCACAAAUCUGUUCUCAGUUCGGAUCGCAGUCUGCAA